rnacentral:rRNA from 1 species
UACGAAGGGGGCUAGCGUUGCUCGGAAUCACUGGGCGUAAAGGGUGCGUAGGCGGCGCGGUAAGUCGGGUGUGAAAUCUCGGAGCUUAACUCCGAAACUGCAUUCGAUACUGCCGUGCUUGAGGACUGGAGAGGAGACUGGAAUUUACGGUGUAGCGGUGAAAUGCGUAGAUAUCGAGAGGAACACCUGCGGCGAAGGCGGGUUGCUGGGCUGACACUGACGCUGAAGCGCGAAAGCUAGGGGAGCGAACGGG